ensembl:snRNA U6 U6 spliceosomal RNA
GUACUUGCUUUGGCAGCACAUAUACUCAAAUUGGAAUGAUAUGGAGAUUAGCGUGGCCCCUGAGCAAGGAUGACAUGCAAAUUUAUGAAGCAUUUCACGUUUCU